rnacentral:lncRNA from 1 species
CUAAACCUCAUUUCUAAAAAUCAUUUUGCUGCUGAAUGAAAUUUAUAAGUGGGGAAUGUGAGCUCCUUCUUUUAAAAAUCAUUUAUUGUAGAAUGACGGUUGUGUGUAUGAGAGAGAUGGGUUGGGGGCGUCGGUGGGUUCAAGUGAAGGGUGGUUGGUGUGUGUGAGUGGUGUCUAUGGAGAUGUCUAUGAUGAAUAUGUGGUCUAUGUUGCAGGUGGUGGUGUAUUGACGGUGUGGGGGUCAAAAGGUUCGAUUUGUUUUUCUUGGGGGGGGGGGGGUUCUUCUGGUGGUGGUGGGUUUGACGGCGACGGUGGUGGUGGGUUUUGACGGCGACUGUGGUAGUGGGUUUUGACGGCAGUGGAGCCUGGCGAUGGUUUCCUUCCCGGUAAGCCUGAGUUUUUAUCCUCUUUCUUUCUCAGAUCCAUUUAUUUUUCUUUCCUUCUUCGGGAUUGUCACGUGAUGUUUCAGAAGGUGUUCAGUUCGGUUCAGUUCAGUUGGUUCGGGUUUCACGGCACGGGUUAGCUCGAUCAAACAGACAACUCGGUCAACUGUCGGGUGCACUCGGUCAAAGCUGGUCAGCCGUUUCAGUCACGGUUCAGUCUUGCUUCGGGUUCGGGUCAGCGGGUUAACUUGUAUUUAUAAUUUGUUGCUUCGGGUUCAGGUUAGCGGGUUAACUUGUAUUUAUUAAUUGUAAACGUAGAAUCAUAUGAUUAUGUUGUUUCGUUUAUUGUGUAUU